rnacentral:rRNA from 1 species
CCUACGGGGGGCAGCAGUAAGGAAUAUUGCGCAAUGGGCGAAAGCCUGACGCAGCGACGCCGCGUGGGGGAUGAAGGUCUUCGGAUUGUAAACCCCUUUCGGGAGGGAAGAUGGAGCGAGCAAUCGUUCGGACGGUACCUCCAGAAGCAGCCACGGCCAACUUCGUGCCAGCAGCCGCGGUAAUACGAAGGUGGCAAGCGUUGUUCGGAUUCACUGGGCGUACAGGGUGUGUAGGCGGUUUGGUAAGCCUUCUGUUAAAGCUUCGGGCCCAACCCGGAAAGCGCAGAGGGUACUGCCAGGCUAGAGGGUGGGAGAGGAGCGCGGAAUUCCCGGUGUAGCGGUGAAAUGCGUAGAGAUCGGGAGGAAGGCCGGUGGCGAAGGCGGCGCUCUGGAACAUACCUGACGCUGAGACACGAAAGCGUGGGGAGCAAACAGGAUUAGAUACCCGAGUAGUC